GGAGGGGAUAUGUGAGGGAAAGGGGGUUUCGUCAGGAACGAGGGGGAAGGGGAAGAAUAAAACCCAUGAUGAUGAUCCUUCUAAAUAUGCCACCUAUGUAAAUGAACCAUCCAAUCUCUCUCUCAUUAUUUAUCCACCUCUCAUUCACUUUUCUUCUCAAUUAUUAAUUACACCCACCCCCCUCUCUCUCUCUCUCAUUUACUGUACCUGCUCCAUCCUCCAUCGCAUCUUAAAUAGAACCCAUCUGCCCCUUCUUCUCCUCCCAUGAACUUAUUAUUACUUCUCCUUCUCCGUUUCUGUAUUUGUCUUAGCGUGUGUAUAUGAUAUGAGUGUAGAUCUUCAACAAGGACACUGCUUUCAUGUGGGUUUAGCAAAGGGUUUCUAACAGAGUUUAUUGGCAUUCUGUCCACCUCCCUUCUAUAGAAAACCUUGUCUUUUCUCUCUCUCUCUCUCUCUCUUUCUCAUGGAGGUGGGCAUACUGCCAACUGAGCUCUGUUGGCUUCUCUUUGUAAGACCCUCGUGAUAUAUCUAGCUACUCCAGAUGUUCUCUCCUCUUCCAUGAGAGAGAUCUCAAGGUUUUACUCUGUGAAUCAUGAAGGUGCGUUUGGAGUGGUAUGCUUUCUGCUGUCUUGGGUGGUCAAACUUGGAGCUUUCAUGAGUGUGUCUAGCUAUCAAGCUCGAGUCAAUGAGUUUUGGAUAUGUAGUCAAAUGUGUACGACUCAGCGAGAGCGAAAUAGAGAAAGUAAUGAUCAUUAUAUUUGAGACCAUUUUGCUAGGAGUUGAACACCUAUCUUUGUUUAGCUUACCUUUGAUGAAAAUAGCAUUAUAUUUCUUUUCCUUUA